rnacentral:rRNA from 1 species
GAUGAACGCUGGCGGCGUGCCUAAUACAUGCAAGUCGAACGAGGCCCUCUUCCUUCGGGAGGAGGUGUCCAAGUGGCGAACGGGUGAGUAACACGUUGGUGACCUACCCCGAAGAGGGGGACAACCCCGGGAAACUGGGGCUAAUACCCCAUGUGAUCCUAAGGAUUAGAUGCCUAAGGAUGAAAUGGAGCAAUUCGCUUCGGGAGGGGCCUGCGGCCUAUCAGCUAGUUGGUGAGGUAAUGGCUCACCAAGGCAUCGACGGGUAGCUGGUCUGAGAGGACGAUCAGCCACGCUGGGACUGAGACACGGCCCAGACUCCUACGGGAGGCAGCAGCAGGGAAUAUUGCGCAAUGGGCGAAAGCCUGACGCAGCGACACCGCGUGAAGGAUGAAGGCCUUCGGGUUGUAAACUUCUUUCAGUGGGGAAGAAGCGAAAGUGACGGUACCCACACAAGAAGCCCCGGCUAACUACGUGCCAGCAGCCGCGGUAAUACGUAGGGGGCAAGCGUUGUCCGGAUUCAUUGGGCGUAAAGAGCUCGUAGGCGGCUUAGCAAGUCGGUCGUGAAAUGCCGAGGCUCAACCUCGGAACGCCGAUCGAAACUGCUAUGGCUAGGGUCCGGUAGAGGAGAGUGGAAUUCCCGGUGUAGCGGUGAAAUGCGCAGAUAUCGGGAGGAACACCAGUAGCGAAGGCGGCUCUCUAGGCCGGUACCGACGCUGAGGAGCGAAAGCGUGGGGAGCGAACAGGAUUAGAUACCCUGGUAGUCCACGCCGUAAACGUUGGGCACUAGGUGUGGCGAGUUCAUCAAUGCUCGCCGUACCGAAGCUAACGCGUUAAGUGCCCCGCCUGGGGAGUACGGUCGCAAGGCUAAAACUCAAAGGAAUUGACGGGGGCCCGCACAAGCGGCGGAGCAUGCGGCUUAAUUCGAUGCAACCCGAAGAACCUUACCUGGUCUUGACAUUAUGGGAAAAACCAUAGAGAUAUGGUGUCCGUAAGGGUCCAUAACAGGUGGUGCAUGGCUGUCGUCAGCUCGUGUCGUGAGAUGUUGGGUUAAGUCCCGCAACGAGCGCAACCCCUGUCCUAUGUUGCCAGCGGAUCAUGCCGGGGACUCACAGGAGACUGCCGGGGACAACUCGGAGGAAGGCGGGGACGACGUCAAGUCAUCAUGCCCCUUAUGACCAGGGCUGCACGCGUGCUACAAUGGGCGGUACAACGGGUCGCGAGCUCGCGAGAGUCAGCUAAUCCCUUAAAGCCGUCCUCAGUUCGGAUUGGGGUCUGCAACUCGACUCCAUGAAGCCGGAGUCGCUAGUAAUCGUGGAUCAGCAAAGCUGCGGUGAAUACGUUCUCGGGCCUUGUACACACCGCCCGUCACAUCACGAAAGUUGGUAACACCCGAAGCACGUGGCUCAACCCCUUGGGGAGAGAGCGUUCGAAGGUGGGGCUGGCGAUUGGGGUG